GAACGCUGGCGACAGGCUUAACACAUGCAAGUCGAGCGCCCCGCAAGGGGAGCGGCAGACGGGUGAGUAACGCGUGGGAAUCUACCUUUUGCUACGGAAUAACUCAGGGAAACUUGUGCUAAUACCGUAUGUGCCCUUCGGGGGAAAGAUUUAUCGGCAAAGGAUGAGCCCGCGUUGGAUUAGCUAGUUGGUGAGGUAAAGGCUCACCAAGGCGACGAUCCAUAGCUGGUCUGAGAGGAUGAUCAGCCACACUGGGACUGAGACACGGCCCAGACUCCUACGGGAGGCAGCAGUGGGGAAUAUUGGACAAUGGGCGCAAGCCUGAUCCA
rnacentral:rRNA from 1 species